rnacentral:rRNA from 1 species
UACGUAGGUGGCAAGCGUUGUCCGGAUUACUGGGCGUAAAGGGCGUGCAGGCGGUCUGUUAAGUCUAGGGUGAAAGCUCCCGGCUCAACUGGGAGAGGUCCUUGGAUACUGGCGGACUUGAGGGAUGCAGAGGAAAGUGGAAUUCCCGGUGUAGUGGUGAUAUGCGUAGAUAUCGGGAGGAACACCAGUGGCGAAGGCGGCUUUCUGGGCAUUCCUGACGCUGAGACGCGAAAGCGUGGGGAGCGAACCGG